rnacentral:rRNA from 1 species
AAAGAGAGGCAAGACCGCGAGGUGGAGCAAAUCUCAAAAAGCCGUCCCAGUUCGGAUCGCAGGCUGCAACCCGCCUGCGUGAAGUUGGAAUCGCUAGUAGUCGCGGAUCAGCAUGCCGCGGUGAAUACGUUCCCGGGCCUUGUACACACCGCCCGUCACACCAUGAGAGUCGGGAACACCCGAAGUCGGUAGUCUAACCGCAAGGAGGACGCCGCCGAAGGUGGGGUUGAUGAUUAGGGUUAAGUCGUAACAAGGUACC